rnacentral:rRNA from 1 species
GACGAACGCUGGCGGCGUGCCUAAUACAUGCAAGUCGAGCGGACAGAAGGGAGCUUGCUCCCGGAAGUUAGCGGCGGACGGGUGAGUAACACGUGGGCAACCUACCCUGUAGAUCGGGAUAACAUCGAGAAAUCGGUGCUAAUACCGGAUAAUCAUUUGAAGUGCAUGCUUCGAAUGUAAAAGAUGGCUCCGGCUAUCACUACGGGAUGGGCCCGCGGCGCAUUAGCUAGUUGGUAAGGUAAUGGCUUACCAAGGCAACGAUGCGUAGCCGACCUGAGAGGGGGAUCGGCCACACUAGGACUGGGACACGGCCCAGACUCCUACGGGAGGCAGCAGUAGGGAAUCUUCCGCAAUGGACGAAAGUCUGACGGAGCAACGCCGCGUGGGUGAUGAAGGUUUUCGGAUCGUAAAGCUCUGUUGUUAGGGAAGAACAAGUGCCGUUUGAAUAAGGCGGCACCUUGACGGUACCUAACCAGAAAGCCACGGCUAACUACGUGCCAGCCGCCGCGGUAACAC